ACACGCAUUUAAAAUUAUUUCAUGAGUCUAGUAGUUCUUUGAUUUAUAGCAGGAUCUUGCUUGCCUCAUUUGUUUCCUGGUUAUGUUCUUAGGAUUCUGACUAAGAGGCAAAAGAGAAAAGACUCAAGAAACUGAUCCUGGAGAUCGAGACCAUCCUGGCUAACAUGGUGAAACCCCGUCUCUACUAAACAUACAAAAAAUUAGCCGGGUGUAGUGGUGGGCACCUGUAGUCCUAGCUACUCGAGAGGCUGAGGCAGGAGAAUGGCGUGAACCCGGGAGGUGGAGCUUGCAGUGAGCGGAGAUCGCGCCACUGCACUCCAGCCUGGGCGACAGGGCAAGACUCUGUCUCAAAAAAAA
rnacentral:lncRNA from 10 species